AUAUUUGACUUGAGGCUCAGAAAGUGAGCUGGUGUGUGAGCCAAUCAAGAAGACGUGUAGCUGGUUAGCACACCGCCGCCGUUACUACCACUUAGGCGGCGGCCCGUCAAGAAGAGACUGCGACGGCUGGCGAGCGACGAGCAGGGCGCCGCCGGAGGAUACGCCCCACGACGGCUACGCUAGCUGGUCUCGAGGGGCCGGACGGCAGCGAUCUCACCGGUUCUUGUUCGGUGUUCAACCUCCUUUACAACGCUCGUACGGUUUAGACAAUCCUAGUAAUUUAACGUUCCAGCUCUUCUUCCGAUCUCUCUGAGUUUGUUUCUUCGUCGAGGUGUUUGGACUUCUUCACGGCUGCACAGUCCUUUCAGAUGUAGCGGUUGAAAGGUACCACCUACACGAGGUUUUCUAGCCAUAUAGAGCCGUAAAACGGUCACUCUAGUUCUCAUAGGACCUAAAAUGUAUGUCAAUAACCAAUGUUUCUCUACUCUAGUACGAUCUACACCUCUGUACACGGUACCGCAAGGCGUAGAAUGCCUACUUACCCAUGUUACAUAGUCGACUACCGGACAGUGUAUAGAGGUGGCUAGACUCACUGUGCUCUAGAAACAACCUUGAUAUGUUCCGAAGUGUUCAAUCAUGAAGUCUGCUACUCAACUAAGACCUAUAAUAUCCUAUGACCAGUCCAGUGGAUGACUCCGUUGUUGACUUUAGAUCACUCCGUGUUUCUUGGGGUGAGGAUUCUCUCCAUCUUGUACAAGAACUAUCGGGGAAGAUGUGGUACAACCUAGCAGACCUCGUAUUCUCCUUGUAGCUUGUUAAACUGUAUUAGCUCGUAGGGUAGGAUGUUAACUGAACCGUCUGUUUAGUUCUAGAAGAUCGAAACCCACAGUACCUAAAGUUAUGUUCAGUUAGAUAAAUGGUUGUUCUUAUAGUCGUAGAGCUCUCAACCCACUCUCUCUCGUCCGACUUGGCCGAUGGAAAGCGUUCUGUCUUCAACCGUAUAAAGAUGGACAGUCGACGGUCGUGGUACAAGGGAGGCCUCGAUAGACUACGAGCGUAGGAUACCCGGUUCUUACCGCGCGAGUGUUGCCAACAACUACUGAAGAAACUGCAACCCCCUAGUUUUCUGCUUAACCUCUUGGAGUGACGUAAUCAGCUCUACAUUGUUAUAAAUGCAGCCAAUAAAAAGAGGGUUUUGUUUCAGCCCAAAGAAUACCAAUAGGAUCAAACAGUGUCCACCCUCGUGGUUCUCCUUUGACUCAUGAUGAGACUUGUUCAGCUCUAGCACAAGAGACGUUAAAUAUCGAGCCAUUUGCUCGAACCUAGUUUCCGAAGGUGUCACGUUCCAGCGCUACAGUGCCCUGUGGAUCAUCUUUAAACCGUUCUUAACGAUUCCUUAUACUACUGACUCCACCUUACCUCUUGCCCGCCUAUGCAAGGUUGAGAUCUACUCAUGUAUCUUUUACGUCAACACUGUAAACGCAACCCGGGUUAACACGAAGGCCGCAACAUGAAACAACCUGGUUUCUAAUGCCUCAGAUACCAGUAUCUAGGACUCAUGUCACUCAACAAAUCCGACUGCUCGUGAACGCCAGCAGAAGAGUUACUGCAGGUUUGGAUGCUCUCCCUCAUGUUUCUCCCAUUUGAGUUGUCACAGAGAGACGAGCACGAAGUGUUACUACCGAGAAACUGAUAUGGUCUCCGAUCCUCCUUCAACGUCUUCGGGUAUCUGUGGACGUCUUCUCUGGACGAUUCCAACCAGGAAUCCCUCCUGCUACGGCACGGAUCCGGAACGUUCCUUGACAAGACCUUGUAUACGUUCUGUACGAUGAAAAAGAUAAUAGUCCCUCUGCGUAAAUCGACGGUUCUCCUCUUCCGGCCACGCCACCUACGCCACUAUGUACUAGGUGAGGUUGAGGGCUACUUAGAUGAGAGACUGGAACUAAAUAGAUGAAACGCACUCUUUUGUUUCUAGUUGGUAAUUAAUGAUGAAGUACAAAUAUAACAACACGCACGCAGUAACCACUUCUACGUAUACGUAGGAACACAAUAUCACAUCGGAUUUAUAGCUUCGGAUUUAUAGCUUCCGUGAUGUGACCCGAAAUUUAAACUAUUUCGGUACUUGUUGUCUACGUAUCUCGAUCUCUUAGUCGAACAUCCGUUGCUCAUUAUGUUCAUUUGUUCUUUUGUUUAUCUUUUCUGUCCUAUACCUCAAAGACG
rnacentral:rRNA from 1 species